GACGAACGCUGGCGGCGUGCCUAAUACAUGCAAGUCGAACGGAGAUAUUCGCUGAUGAAGUACUUCGGUAAUGAAUCUUGGAUAUCUUAGUGGCGGACGGGUGAGUAACGCGUGAGCAACCUGCCUUUCAGAGGGGGAUAACGUUUGGAAACGAACGCUAAUACCGCAUGACAUUAUCUUAUCGCAUGGUAGGAUAAUCAAAGGAGCAAUCCGCUGAAAGAUGGGCUCGCGUCCGAUUAGGUAGUUGGUGGGGUAACGGCCCACCAAGCCGACGAUCGGUAGCCGGACUGAGAGGUUGGACGGCCACAUUGGGACUGAGACACGGCCCAG
rnacentral:rRNA from 1 species